rnacentral:ncRNA from 1 species
CGGGUCAAGGCCGGCCAGUGAGACGAUGGGGAAUAAGCUUCAUCUUCGAGAGGAAAACAGUUCGGAUCACCAGCUAAGGCCCCUAAAUGACCGCUCAAUAAUAAAGGAGGUAAGAGUGCAGAGACAGCUAGGACGUUUGCCUAGAAGCAGCCACCCUUGAAAGAGUGCGUAAUAACUCACUUAUCGAGCGCUCUAGCGCCGAAGAUGAAUCGGGCUAUGCGAUCUAGGGGAGAGAGAAAAAGAGGAGAGAGAAAGUUAUUUUACUU